ACCGCCGUCCUGAACCAAAAUGUCACCUGGAUUCGUAUGGGAAUGUAGUGGAAGAAAAAUAUCCACUUUCAAUUCAUCAGCAUUAUGAUAUCUUCUCUCAACGUUUUACUUGAUUCGGUAAACCUACAGUUCGGAACGUCUUAAGGGAGAUCUUCAUACUAUCUUGCCAAUCUGGACAAGAUCCGAAAUCCAGUUUUUCAUGGCUUUGUUCGCAUUGACUUAGCUGCAUAUGACUCACUACCAGUGAGCUAGAGAGUCCUACUAAGCUAGAAAGUAAGUGACAACGAUUUGAUAGAAAGCUCCAGCAGGUUCAAAUAGUUGAUUACGGCUCCAAGGUUACAUCAAAUGUGGAAACUUGGAGGAUGAACUCUUGUAAAUAUGGAGCAACAGGUCGUUUGCUGUAGUUACAAUAUGUCCUCUCUGACAACGAAAUUUGUGAUGCUGCUGAGCUGCUAUUUUGGAUUGGGUUUAAGCUCUCUGGCUGAAGAAGUUGAUUGUCGCAUCUGGUUUUGACAGAGUGAUCACAAAUUUGUUCAAGUCAUUAUAUAUUCUUUUUCUGCAUCUUUGGAUUGCCUAGCGUAUUCCUUGGGUUGAACCCGUUUGGUUAGGAAUCUUGAAGAAAUUGGUAUGUGAUUUAGUUAUGUUCAUUCAAUGAACAUGUUGAGAGCAAGGAGUCAGAAAAGCAUGGGAUCUGAAUUCAGAAGAAUUUGCAGAAUUAAACAUUUCUUCAUUUUACACCGACGAUCAUGGAACCUAGAUCUUCCGAUACAUACGUGAUCCGUGGUUGCUUUCCUUGUCUUGUCUUAUCUGUGUAGAAGUGACUUUCAUAGAUGCCGCGCAAGUAUUUUAUUUGUGAAAUAUUUAUUGAAAACGAUGCAGGUGGUUACAUGGUAUUCUACGGUUUUAAAUGAGUGAAGGCUAGGCAUCCCAUUUUUUAGCAUGGGCGGCUACAUGAUGCCAUAUCCGGUGGCCAGCACAUGAAAAGCCACAUUUCUGUAUAUGCCAACUGUGGUUCAGUCCAUCAUGCAUUGAUUGAAAUUGUUUACAGUAAUUGCAAUCAUUGUUUCUCUCUACUUUUCUGAAACCCAUAGCUCUAUUGUGAUUGAAAUUGUAAACAGCAAAGAAGGAAGAAAAAUACAAACCAAUCGUUUAUCCACUGGACAUGAUUUGGCCACCACAUUGCCCUACAGACAGAAAGACUGAAAUUCAAAAUUGGAACUACCAUUAACAGCCCAUAACCCCCCAAAUUUUAACCUCAGAUGGGGGCAUUAUAAUGAGAUCGUCUUGCGGUAUCUCCAUAUAUACACUAACUAAAGGAUAUCUCCAAAACGAGCUGUUAUAAGAUCUGUCUCUUUCCGUCUCACUCUAUGUAUCUCUUUUAAGAACAAAAGCUAUACAUCUGUAUGAUGAUGACUUGGGGAUUCGACUCUAAGUUACAAGAUGACAUUCAUUUAUCAUCCGGAGACUCUGCUUCUCUUCCCCGU